CGCGUCCUCGUCGAGGACGACGUCGCCCUGCACGUGGCGGUCGGCGGUUCCGGGCCGCCGAUCGUGC
rnacentral:tRNA from 1 species